GAGGGGCAGCGGGGAGGUAGCAAUACUUUCGCCGGCGACCGGCGCACGGGUGAGUAACACGUAUGGAACCUGCCCGUAGCAGGGGGAUAAGCGGAAGAAAUUCCGUCUAAUACCGCGUAAUAACUCCGAGAGGCAUCUCAUGGAGUUUAAAGGGUAACACCGGCUACGGAUGGCCAUGCGGCGCAUUAGCUAGUUGGCGGGGUAACGGCCCACCAAGGCGACGACGCGUAGGGGUUCUGAGAGGAAGGUCCCCCACACUGGUACUGAGACACGGACCAGGCUCCUACGGGAGGCAGCAGUGAGGAAUAUUGGUCAAUGGGCGCGAGCCUGAACCAGCCAAGUCGCGUGAGGGAAGACGGUCCUAUGGAUUGUAAACCUCUUUUGCAGGGGAGCAAGGCGCGGUACGUGUACCGCGAAGGAGAGUACCCUGAGAAAAAGCAUCGGCUAACUCCGUGCCAGCAGCCGCGGUAAUACGGAGGAUGCGAGCGUUAUCCGGAUUUAUUGGGUUUAAAGGGUGCGCAGGCGGACUGUUAAGUCAGCGGUAAAAUGUCGGUGCUCAACACCGGCCGGCCGUUGAAACUGGCAGCCUUGAGUGAGCGAGAAGUAUGCGGAAUGCGUGGUGUAGCGGUGAAAUGCAUAGAUAUCACGCAGAACUCCGAUUGCGAAGGCAGCAUACCGGCGCUCAACUGACGCUCAGGCACGAAAGCGUGGGUAUCGAACAGGCUUAGAUACCCUGGUAGUCCACGCAGUAAACGAUGAAUGCUCACUGUCCGGGCCGUUUAAGGCCUGGGUGGUCAAGCGAAAGCGUUAAGCAUUCCACCUGGGGAGUACGCCGGCAACGGUGAACU
rnacentral:rRNA from 1 species